CUCGGUCCGCCGAUCCGCGCGGGCCCCGGACGAGGGGUGCCGUACCCGGACAGCGACAAGACGGCCCAGA
rnacentral:ncRNA from 1 species